AACGCACCUUGCACCCUUUGGUAUUCCGAAGGGUAUGCCUGUUUGAGUGUCAUUUAAUCCUCAACCUCGGAAGGCUUGCGCUUUCUUGAGGCUUGGACUGUGGGGGGUUCUGCGGGCUGCUUCACGGCGGUCGGCUCCCCUGAAAUGCAUUAGCUGGGGUCUUAAGUCCCUUGCCCAUUGGUGUGAUAAAUGUCAUCGCCGACUGGGUCCAAGGCUUUUUAUAAUUGGGCCCUGCUUCCAAUCGUCUCUGGACAACCUCGCUUCAGAGGUUCUAUCCCUGACUAUUGUGACCUCAAAUCAGGUAGGACUACCCGCUGAACUUAA
rnacentral:misc_RNA from 1 species